GCUGUUUCCAGAUUGAAUUUGGUGUUGAUGUAACCACCAAAGAAAUUGUUCUUGCUGAUGUUAUUGACAAUGAUUCCUGGAGACUCUGGCCAUCAGGAGAUCGAAGCCAACAGAAAGACAAACAGUCUUAUCGGGACCUCAAAGAAGUAACUCCUGAAGGGCUCCAAAUGGUAAAGAAAAACUUUGAGUGGGUUGCAGAGAGAGUAGAGGUAAACCUUCUAUAGUAAAACUGUAUGUAUUAUGUGUUUUUCUUCUAAGAAAAUCUUGUUUCAAAAGAAAAAAAAAUGGGAGAGUAUAGUGCUUUUCUUUUCAGUGACUUUGUUUUUUGUUGUUGUUUUUUUUGAGACGGAGUCUUGCUCUGUCGCCCAGGCUGGAGUGCAGUGGCGCCAUCUCAGCUCACUGCAAGCUCCGCCUCCCGGGUUCACGCCAUUCUCCUAGCUCAGCCUCCCGAGUAGCUGGGACUACAGGCGCUGGCCACCACGCCCAGCUAAUUUUUUGUAUUUUUAGUAGAGACGGGGUUUCACCGUGUUAGCCAGGAUGGUCUUGAUCUCCUGACCUCGUGAUCCCCCUGCCUCGGCCUCCCAAAGUGCCGGGAUUACAGGCGUGAGCCACCACGCCCAGCUCUUCAGUGACUUUGAAAGUGAGGAACACUUUUAGGAAAUGUAUCAGCUGGGCUAUCCUUACUAGGAUACUGGAAC
rnacentral:lncRNA from 10 species